UUUUUUUUUGUUUUUUUGUGACUGAAGUGACAUAGUGGCACCUGUGCCAUUGACUUUACAGAGGUCUCAUUGUCACCAAAUCACAGAAAUGCUUUCAAGAAUUUUACCUCAAGUUCUCAGCCCACAGCACUCACCCCUGAAUGUUCAAAAUGCAAAUCUGUCUUGUUCCUUCUGAAGCUAUUUCCUUCUGAAGGUAGAGCACAUCCUUGUGAAGCCAAGUAGGCACCUCCAGGGAGUUGUUUCCAUAACAACCUCCCGGACUGUUUCUCUCUACGCUGUGACUGUGGCUACAAGCAAAAGCCCUCGUUGGAUAUUUUGUUUUCAGAUAUUAGCACCUCAUCUUCACAGACGUUUUCCUUGCUUCCUGAAGAUGAUCCCAUCACCUUGUAUCAUGUACAGCUUGUCCUGUCCAACUUCAGAAGGACAGUUAUCAGCCUUUGAAAGAAGGGAGUGCAAACCUGGAGAUGGGAAGAGAUUUAACUUGUACACAGGGGGGGUUGGAGAGUGUGUGAAGGGACAAUCUGGGCACUCAGUCAAGGAGCUGAGGGACAACUGGCCUGUGGAUGUAGAGUCAUCUGGGUGCCCAGUGACAGGGAACACAAGCUAAAGCAUCACAUGAAAAGACCAGAAAUUCCUCUUUCAACAGUCUCACUAGGAAAUAGUUUUGCAGUGGAGAAGACUGUUGUUCCUUCCUGAUCCCUUGGCUGGUUUGUGACAAUCAGCUUCCCAGAGAAUGUUUCCCACAGGAUGUUUUGCACCAAAGCAGGACAGGGCAGAAAUCAUCUCCUUGGAGGUGGGGAAGGAAGAAAAAGAAUUCUACUGAGGACACCAUUUUUAAAUCCACUUAAAGGACUGUAAGUGUGAAAGGCAUGAAGACCUGUUUUGUGAUAUUUCGAGGUCUGCAUUACCAGUAGAUUCCUGCACUUCCUUCCAAGAUAAAAUUCCUAUUCUGCUCCUGUGUGGAAAAUGUUGGAAUUCAGGAUUUCUGAGCAAUUUUCUGUUUGGCCCUUUUCUUUCAUGGAUAAAAACUCACUGCUACAGCAGCCAUUGGGGUGAAGGUGACUGGACUUGGUGUUCUCUCAGCCCUCUCGUUCAGUGUACAGAGAUCCCUAUGGAGAUAAAGAAGAGUGAGUAUUAAGGAAAUUCAGGGCAGUAAGAGAGAGGGUAAGGACUGAAGUGUCUUCUGUACAGUGAUGGGAAGAACAGCAUCAACCCGGAAAGCAGAGGAAUAAACAGCUCCAGCAUCAGCUGCUGUAGCUAAAAUAGGUCCUGUUUACACCAGGGAAGGAUCUGCAGAUUACAGCAGGAGUUAACCACAGCUUUCCCAAAAGUGCUCAUCUGACUUGAGUCCAAGCUGGAUUCUGGAUGCUGCAAGGCUGUCAUGUCAGGAUGCUGCAAAAGAGGUGGUUGCAUCUUCUUACUGUAGAGUUGGUGACGUUUCCCUGUGUGCAGGGAAUCCGACCUUUUUGGACAGGAAACUUUUCCUUGCUUUGUGAUUUUCUUGGUGCUGUUGAUUUUGAAGGGGUCAACACUCUCAGUUCAAAGAAACUGAAACUAGAUGUGAACAGGGAUUGGAAGAAGGAGGCAGGGAGAAUCCCCUACAAGAUUCAAAUGUGUCUCAUUUCCGGGGAAACCAAGUAAAACAGGAUUCAACUGCAGCAAUUUAUGAGCUGUUCAUCAAAAACCCCAGACAAGCACUGAGUUCUGUGGGAAGCUGGAAAUGACACAGGACAUCUCCAAAAGACUCUGCUGUUGAAACUUCCUUUAAACUUUUUUUUUUCAAGUGGAAGAUCCAGACCUGGCAAAUGGGUAAGGUCAUCCCUUAGAAGAGCUCUCUCCAGAGAAUUGAGCAAGUCACCGAAGUCUGUCCGUUUGUCUGCCUGUCUUUUGGCCUCGGGUUACUGUGCUUUUUAAAACUGUGAUUUCAUAGCUCAGAUAAAAGGUAGGUAUUUCACAUAGCUCUACAGGUAGCAAUCAUCCUGUUCAUGCAAAAUAUCUGCUGUGUAAGGGAUGGGCCCAAACUAGAGGUGUUUCUCAUGUACCUACAAAGCGUCUUGCCUAGUGUAUGUACAGUCAGUUCUUGUGAACAUGUGAGUCCAUUGCCUGCUCUAAAGGAGUUAGUGACUUAGUUUCAGUGGUCAUAGAGGUUUUCACCAAAAUAGCGCUGUUUGUGGUAGUCUUUUGUGUGAUUUAGAAGACACAAUAGCCAGACAGUUCUGAAAUUAUGAUAUAAUUGUACUCAGCAUUCCCAGAAAAUGCUCUGAAGUUUUCUCCUGUUGCACCAUUGUGAUAAGAACCUCUGUUGCUUUUCAAGCUCCGCAAGUCCAUGCUGUGCUGUGCUGAAAGUGCUUGAAAACCCAGUUAGGAUUGAAAAGGGAAGGGCAGAGAGGGAUGCUGUGGCCUGGAAUUCCCUCCCUUUGGCAGCGGCAAAGGUCAGUCGUGCACCAGAUUUCCAUAACCACAUGUGGAUCCACCCUGUGUGUGUUGCCAGUUCUCUGCACAGGAGAGUGGGAGGAUGGGUAGAAAGAAUUGAUUCUGAAAGGGGAGAGACUGAGAAGAGUGGAGUAAGCAGGAUGACUGGGAUUUUCAGAAGUUAGUCUGAUGGAUGCUGGGCACUGAGUUCCCUAGAACUAUUUAUCAAUAACACCCUCUCUAUUUUCAUGAGUGACAUUUAGCCUGUCUGGCAGUUCUCACAGUCAGUGUGUGAGGGAAAAGAGGUAGAAGGCAGUUCACUCUGCUUUGGCAGCUGUAACAGGCUGGGCUGUAAUACCUGAGGGUCUGAACUCUGACAAGCUGUGACAUCCUGACUACCUGUCAGGUUCACAGAGGCUUAUAAAAGAAACCCUGAGCUGCCAGAUUGAAAGUUGCUUCUGGAGCAGGUCUUCUGAGUAGUCCUUAGUGUGGAUGUGAGGCUGUGGUCCUUAGGCAGUGUGUACUCCAUGUUCCCAAGAGACCUACUCCAUGUCUUAGUGCCGGCCAGCUUGCACUGUGGGACUUCUCUGAGUCUCUGUGUAUCCUGAUCUUGCCAUGUGGCUGACAGUGAGUGACCAGAGCUGCCAUGGACAGCAAAGGCAGUUGUCUUCAGAGUCAGCCUAGGUGCAGGCUGCCUUUGGAAAAGCAUAACUAUCCUGCAGAAGCCCAUGGAUACCCUUCAGACACACGGCGCACCGGUCAGAGGCUUUAGACCAUGCUGUGCGCCCACACAAUCAGCAGGGGUGGUAGUUACAGGAUUGCUUUGCUUUUGCUGUGAGACCUGGUUCUGAUGCAUUAUUUCAAGGAAGACAGUUGGAAUUUUCAGGCCAGACCAUGUGGUGAAAUAAGUAAUUCCAGCUCCCUUAUUGGAGCGGCUUGAUAGAAAUCUGGUUCAACAUUUCUGAGCAAUUGUUGAUGGUGCAAUUUGUUUGUUUCAAUGAAAACCUGAAGCCUUUCCAAUAGAGAACGUGAGGUGUAGAGAAUUUUUUGAUGGAGGACAUGCUUCAGGCUGUUUGCUGGAUUCAGGCUUUGAGAAUCCAAGUUCUUUGUAGGCAGUCCCACACACAGUGGGAGAAGAGGUUAUUAGGCUUGGAAGUUGACCAGGGAGAUGGGACUCAACUGAGCUUUGAAAAGCAAUCAUUGUCCUUAUUGAUGGUACCAUAAUAUGUGCUUGACUUAAACCCAACCUUGCACAGGCAAGAACCUUUUAAGUCAUGUAAUUAGAUAUGUGUGGUUGUUCCUACCAGUGUGAUCCAGUGUUGAAUAGGCUAGAACAUAUGAAUAAAAUCAGUAUUUUUUAAA